rnacentral:rRNA from 1 species
AGCAGCCGCGGUAAUUCCAGCUCCAAUAGCGUAUAUUAAAGUUGCUGCAGUUAAAAAGCUCGUAGUUGAAUUUCGGGACCAAUAUUUCGGUCGUGCCUCGGUACGUACUGGCAUCGUUGGUUUCUCCCUUCUGACGAACCAUGAUGUCAUUUAUUUGGUGUCGUGGGGAAUCAGGACUGUUACUUUGAAAAAUUAGAGUGUUUAAAGCAGGCUCACGCUUGAAUACAUUAGCAUGGAAUAAUGAAAUAGGACGUUUGAUUCUAUUUUGUUGGUUUCUAGGAUCGACGUAAUGAUUAAUAGGGAUAGUUGGGGGCAUUAGUAUUCAAUUGUCAGAGGUGAAAUUCUUGGACUUAUUGAAGACUAACUACUGCGAAAGCAUUUGCCAAGGAUGUUUUCACUAAUCAAGAACGAAAGUUAGGGGAUCGAAGACGAUUAGAUACCGUCGUAGUCUUAACCAUAAACUAUGCCGACUAGGGAUCGGAUGAUGUUAAUUUUUUAAUGACUCA